ensembl:lncRNA MIOS-DT MIOS divergent transcript
AGUAAGAGGAAAUAACUCUACAUUCAAAUUUGAGCAGGGCACUUGGUGACCUACUUAGACAUGACAUUCCUUGGCCUCCCUUUCAGCAAGAUGAGAAAACUGAGGCACAGAGAGGUGAAAUAAGGCCCCCAGAAUGCUCUUCUCCAAGACUUAGAAAAAUCAAAUGCUAUCCAUCCCUCAAGAUACAUCCCUCC